UUUCAGAGCUGAAAGAUUUCCCUCGCCUUUUCCUUCAUGUUCCAGAAUCCCCGGAGGUUUGUCAUCAAACAUCCUCAUUUGUGACCCCCAAGGAAAAGGUAAAAGAGCUGCUUCUCAGUCUUUUCUGUCCAGGAGACUCAGCACUUUCAGAAAUCAGUUGUUUGAAGAGGUCCCAAACAUCUGUGCCCAGGAAUUUGAAUUGAAUUCAGGCCCUGAAUUGAUCCUGCAAGCUUCCCAUGGGAAGAUCUAGACUCUCCAAGGACAUCUCAGUCUACCAAAGCUGUAAACACCUGGAAACCCAAACAGUGUCAGCAAAACACAGCGCUGUUCUCAUGCUCAUCAGCCCAUGAGAGAAGCUGACUGAAGAUUGUGGUGACUGGACCUCAAAACUGCCCCAGCACAUUUAACUUCAAGAAAGAGUCAGCUGUUUUGUCAGCAUUCUUGCAGCAGCCUGAAUUGUGCUGAAGUGAGCAAAUUAAGGGAAUAAGGGGCUCAUUUACUGAUGCUGGAGAAUUCUGUUUCCUGGAGACCUGGCAAACGUGAUCAGAAGAACUCACAGGUGGUAUUGUACCAAAGGUUUGUUCAG